GCUGGACUCAAUGAUCUCCCAAGGUCCUUUCCAGCCCUAAUGUCUAUGAAAUCUAUAAAAAGGUCAAGAAUAGAACCUAAAAGAAAUCUAUAUAGUAAUGGAAGGAAAAAAGAGAGAGAUUUUUCCCCUGCCCCUCAGUUUCACCCCACCCCAGAGUAUGCUCCAUUUACUGCUCGAGUCUGCUCUACUUACAUCUUUUUGCUCACAGCUUUUCCAUGUGACCCCAUCAGAUAUUCGGCAUGUGGAUGAACAGCACCUGCCAUGUCUAUCAGAACUAAGAAUAUGACCAGCUUUGUGUAGAGAUGAGGUCAAAUGCUUGUGCUGUCCAUGGGCUCUCCACAAUUCACUUCUAACUACAGCAUUAAUCACAUAUUGAAGAGAGACUUCCCAUGUGCCUAUACACCGGCUCUAACUUGCAGAGAUCAUGCUAUGGUUUCUGCUGCUUUAAGACUCCUCUGCAGCUUCCUAAACCUUUAGCUGAUGAAGAAGAAAUUGCAUCUUUUCAGAAGAUACUUAAUUCUCAGAAUACUCCUUGAAAAUACAUCUGGGCUAAUCUCAUCACCCAGCUGCUGGAAGUUUGCUGCCAACAUUUCUUCUUGUUCUCUGUUCAAGUCUUGAGACUUAGCUGUGUCAGAAGGAAUAACAAAUGUGUCAUGGCAUGAUUUAUGUACCAAGUAUCUGUUGUAAUACAGCCUUCUUUUGUGAAUGGGAAGCAGUCCCUUACUAUACACAGCUUCACUAACGGGUCUAACAAAAUCAGCAAUAUGGACUUAAUGCUGUUUUUUUCAUUAUGCCUCUGUGGAUGAUAAUUAGUAUCAAUGGAGUAUAUUUUCUGAUGUGUGCACAUUGCAUAGACCAUAAAAACUUGAAAAAUAGAAAGCUGGCAUAGCUAGAUGACUUCGACCUUGUAAAAAAUACUUUGGUGCUUGUGAUAGUUGGGAGAGUGAUGGCACCACAACAGUAAUAAUUCUCUUGUCCUCAGGAUCAGUUUAAAGUGGGCAGUGGUGAUACUAGCUUAUUCUUGGCAGCUCCUGGGAUUCUUCCUCAACGCUGAUCUAGAGCAGCCUUCUGUCAGGUUAAGAGGCUGGUGCAGUUCCUGUGUCCUUUUUCCCAUUCCCAGCCUUCAUUUUCAUCUGCUUUACUGUCAAGAAGCACACUGCUUACAGCGUGGUGUACACAUCUGCUGACUUCCUACGGACUUUUGAGUAGUCUUCACACACGCACAGUUCUUAGUUACUACUCAAUUUAUCAGGCUUUAUACAGUAAGAGGACAAAUCUUGUGUAUCCCAUGAUCUGCCUCCUAAAUCAGUCAGGUCUUACAGUCAUCUUUGAUUUGCAUAAACUGGUAGAGUUUCUUUCUUCUGGAGGCUGCAGGGUCCCCUUCAGAAGGGAAAACAUAACCUGUGGGAGAGAGAGAAGCAUGUCUGUGACAGUAGAACCAAGUGCUUCCUUUAUGUUGGGGUUGUACAUGCACAUCUUGCUAAUUUUUACUCUAGUUACUGAGACUUUUAGGAGAGACUGCAGUGUAGCGUUAUAAUCUGACAUAGUUUAUUGGCUUUGGGUUCAAGGUGAGGAGUGGGUUUUAAGGAGGAGCCGAUUUCUUCAACCCUCCUUUUAAAGCUAUAGGGGACUGCCUGGAAGAACACCCACAUGCAGGUUAAGAUUGGCAGGAGCAAUUAAGGGAGCCAUUAAGCCUCUGUCUUGAAACACGUGAAAAGGUAAAGCAAGGGUUCCUGUAUACUUUGCAGGCAAGCUGUUCUAGAGCCCUUCCUUGGUCAGAGUGGGAUAGGAAGUAGUGAGAACUGGAAUUUUAUUAAUAUAGUUGGUUUAGCUUAGUUUUGGCCUAACACAAUAUUAUUGCUGUGUGAAUGAAGUUUUCAUCUCAUUUGGUAUGUUAUCUGUGUUACAUAGGCAGCAAAAGUUCACUUCUGCAUGAGCUCAUUGGCAGAUCUUUGAAUCUUAAUAAGAAUAUUAGUACAAUUCUGCCUCUCUGGAGUGCUGAGUUCCUUUGUUCUUUUGAGAGAUAUUUGUGCUUUGAUAGAAGAUCACGGAGCAGUUAUAGGAGUAACAGGCAAGAAUUUGUAAUGCUUCUGUAGCAUACGGUUGUCAGCUUUGGUCUCCGAGAAGUCAGUAUUUGAUGUUCAUUUUGAAAAUGAGCAUCUGCCUUAAAAUACUAAGCUUAGAAUGACUUUGUAUGUUUGUUGUCCCUACAGUUUACAAGUAAGAAAGGAUGAAUAUUGAAUGAUCUUUCAUCUGAUCAUUUUUGUGAUCAGAGCUUUAUCAUUUGAUUAAAUUAGUUCAUUUGAAUCAUUUUAACUCUUUACAAGAUUAUUUAGCAAGCUGUUUUGAAUGGUAAAAAUGAUUUGUUUUGGCAAGAGAGCUUUACAAGGCAUAGUCAAUAUCUGAUUUACAUUCUGGAUGACAGCAAAAAUGAAUAUUUUUCCUUAACCAUAGAAAAUAUUAUGACUUCAACUUAAAAAUGAAUUCGCUUGCUUUGCAUGUGUAUUUUUCCUACGAAAUUGGCUGUAAUAGUUUAGGUGAGGUAAUGUAAUGGUUGAUGCAUCAUUGAUUCAUUCACAGACUAAUGUGGCAAAGUGGCAGUGUACUUUGGCCACUUUCCACCCAGAUCAAAGGUUAGAUGAGGCUGGCAAUAUAUUAAUGACUUUACCAAAGUGUGCAGUGUCAUUUAUUGAGAAAACAUUCUUAUGCACACUUUGGAGUGUGUGUGCUUAUUGAAGACCAUUUAGAUUUACAAAGACUGGAAUGAUCCUUUUCCCCCUGAAACCACUCUUGGCAAAACCACUCUAGUUAUUACAUUUGCCUUAGUUUACUUUCUGUUUCUGCAACAAAGCCUUUCAUUAAAGAAAGUGCUAACCACAUGGAAAGCUAAAAGUUUUGAUAAAUGACUGUUGUACAUAUGUAUUCAUGUUACGUUAAGCGUUCUGUAUUAUGGAUAAGUUGGCAACUCUUCAUAAUCGUUGGGUAAGUAAACAUUUCAUGUACUUCAUAGAGGUAGCUAAAAUGAAUUGAGACAGUUGGAUUGUGCAAAGUCUUUGAGUUGCUUCUAGCAAAAAGUGUCUUUUUAAUAUGUUUGCUUGUAGUUUGGAAACUGCUGUUUUUUACUGAAAUUACUGAAAGCUAAGUAACCCAGUACUACUUAAAAAUAGAGUACUUUACAUUCAGUGUAGAAAAUAGAAUACACGAUUUUAAUAUGUUGCUGAAAUGACUAACAGUUUUUCUAAAUCAGGCUCUCUUGGUUCAUUUUGUUAGGGUAAAGCCUACUUUAAAACUUAAUUUUGGCACCAAGAUAUUUUGCAGUCUAGUGUCUUAAAAAUAAAACACUAAUGUUUCCUUCAGACUUCCACUUAAAGAGAAGCAAACAGCAGCAGAAAUACACACUUGAAAUCAGAGUAAUUUAUUGAUAUUUAUUUAUGCAUCUUGUACUUGAGCACUGGGUGCAAUAAAUGAAAGGGUUACAGUUUUUAAUGCUCAUAACUGCCACUUGCUAUGUAAAACAGUUAUUUUAAAAUUUGAAAUGAAGCAGUAACUUUUUGCCUUUCAACAAAAUUGGAUGUUACGUAUAACAUCCAGCAUUACAGAAAAUUAUAGUAUCUUUUAAAAAAUGUUUUGUAAGCAGAAGCUAGUAUUUUGAAAAGUAUAAGAGAAAUGUGUUCAUGCAAGAGGUCUCAAAAUGUCUUUUGCAUCUAGGAAAAAAUAUUAGGUGUGCACCACUAAAGAUUUUCUUGGCCAAUACCAAUAACCAAAUAUUAACCAGCCAUAUCAGCUGAUACCAAUCUGAUGCCUGGCUGCAGUCCUGUAAAUUGGUUAGCAGGGAGAGCAGCUCCCUGUAGGUAAGUCUGUGGAAGGGAAGGGAUGUGGGGAGAGGGAAGGGGUGUGAGAGAAGGGCAGAUUGAGGUCCCCAUGGUGAGAGGGAGGGAGUGGGGCAGGGGUAGGAGCUGGUGCUGGGGGUGCUACCCAGCCAGGGCAGUGAAUGGGGGCCAGGGAGGAGAACUGGACAAAGCUGCAGGCAGCUCCUUCAAGGACUCAGCAUCCAGGUGUUUAAAAAUGGUGGUGAGGACACUUGAACUAAAGCUUGCCAAAUGAGCUUUAGUUCAAGCACCACUGCCACCAUUUUUAAGCAUGGGGAUGCUUUUAACUGGGGUAAGGGUAGAUGCGGGCUGCUUGCUGUGGGCUCAGGGCUUUCCACCCUGCUGCCUUUGCCCCCGAGGCCCUGCACCAGCUGUGCGCCCCUUGCCCACUUGGCAGUGGGGGGCACAGCUCGAUGUCCCCACUGUUGCCAGGCAGGCAGGGGAUGCGUGGCUGGUGUGGGGUUCCUGAGAGAAAGGCAGGAGAGCGGAGAGCCCCAAGCCCAUAGCUAGCAGCCCACGACUGCCCCAUGCACAAAUCUGGAGGGCACGUUUCCACAGCCCCCAUGCUUCCCCCAGGGGGUGCAUGAAGCAGGG